AGCAGCCGCGAUAAUUCCAGCUCCAAUAGCGUAUAUUAAAGUUGUUGCAGUUAAAAAGCUCGUAGUUGAAUUUCGGGAUCAGCAGGUUGGUCGUGCCUCUGGUAUGCACUGGUUUCGCUGAUUCCUCCUUUCUGAAGAACUGUAAUGUCAUUAAUUUGGUGUUGCAGGGAAACAGGACUGUUACUUUGAAAAAAUUAGAGUGUUUAAAGCAAGCUAACGCUUGAAUACAUUAGCAUGGAAUAAUGAAAUAGGACGUUUGAUCCUAUUUUGUUGGUUUCUAGGAUUGACGUAAUGAUUAAUAGGGAUAGUUGGGGGCAUUAGUAUUCAAUUGUCAGAGGUGAAAUUCUUGGAUUUAUUGAAGACUAACUACUGCGAAAGCAUUUGCCAAGGAUGUUUUCAUUAAUCAAGAACGAAAGUUAGGGGAUCGAAGACGAUCAGAUACCGUCGUAGUCUUAACCAUAAACUAUGCCGACUAGGGAUCGGAUGAUGUUAAUUUUUUAANGNCUCA
rnacentral:rRNA from 1 species